rnacentral:rRNA from 1 species
CCUACGGGAGGCAGCAGUGAGGAAUAUUGGUCAAUGGACGAGAGUCUGAACCAGCCAAGUAGCGUGAAGGAUGACUGCCCUAUGGGUUGUAAACUUCUUUUAUAAAGGAAUAAAACGAGGCACGUGUGCCUUUUUGCAUGUACUUUAUGAAUAAGGAUCGGCUAACUCCGUGCCAGCAGCCGCGGUAAUACGGAGGAUCCGAGCGUUAUCCGGAUUUAUUGGGUUUAAAGGGAGCGUAGAUGGGUUGUUAAGUCAGUUGUGAAAGUUUGCGGCUCAACCGUAAAAUUGCAAUUGAUACUGGCAGUCGUGAGUACAGUUGAUGUAGGCGGAAUUCGUGGUGUAGCGGUGAAAUGCUUAGAUAUCACGAAGAACCCCGAUUGCGAAGGCAGCUUACUAAACUGUGACUGACAUUGAUGCUCGAAAGUGUGGGUAUCAAACAGGAUUAGAUACCCUUGUAGUC